ACGGAUUGGACAUGACCUCAAAACUCCCUCUGUCGGUGCCCGGCCCCCAAAGGAGCUCACACAGGACUUUCAAUCACAUAGCAUGGUGCUCGACCCUAAAAGGGCUCACACAGGACUUACCCAACAUAGUGCCCGGCCCCCCUAAAGGAGCUCACACAGGACUUUCAAUCAUGACAGAUCUAUGGGCUAUUGAAGUCGCCUUGGUCCAUCCACAUCAACA
rnacentral:lncRNA from 1 species